rnacentral:rRNA from 1 species
GAUGAACGCUGGCGGCGUGCUUAACACAUGCAAGUCGAACGAUGAAGCUCAGCUUGCUGGGUGGAUUAGUGGCGAACGGGUGAGUAACACGUGAGUAACCUGCCCUUAACUCUGGGAUAAGCCUGGGAAACUAGGUCUAAUACCGGAUAGGAGCGUCCACCGCAUGGUGGGUGUUGGAAAGAUUUAUCGGUUUUGGAUGGACUCGCGGCCUAUCAGCUUGUUGGUGAGGUAAUGGCUCACCAAGGCGACGACGGGUAGCCGGCCUGAGAGGGUGACCGGCCACACUGGGACUGAGACACGGCCCAGACUCCUACUGGAGGCAGCAGUGGGGAAUAUUGCACAAUGGGCGAAAGCCUGAUGCAGCGACGCCGCGUGAGGGAUGACGGCCUUCGGGUUGUAAACCUCUUUCAGUAGGGAAGAAGCGAAAGUGACGGUACCUGCAGAAGAAGCACCGGCUAACUACGUG